CCUACGGGUGGCUGCAGUGGGGAAUAUUGGACAAUGGGGGGAACCCUGAUCCAGCCAUGCCGCGUGUGUGAAGAAGGCCCUCGGGUUGUAAAGCACUUUCAGUGAGGAAGAACGCCUGGUGGUUAAUACCCAUCAGGAAAGACAUCACUCACAGAAGAAGCACCGGCUAACUCCGUGCCAGCAGCCGCGGUAAUACGGAGGGUGCGAGCGUUAAUCGGAAUUACUGGGCGUAAAGCGCGCGUAGGUGGCUUGAUAAGCCGGUUGUGAAAGCCCCGGGCUCAACCUGGGAACGGCAUCCGGAACUGUCAAGCUAGAGUGAAGGAGAGGAAGGUAGAAUUCCCGGUGUAGCGGUGAAAUGCGUAGAGAUCGGGAGGAAUACCAGUGGCGAAGGCGGCCUUCUGGACUGACACUGACACUGAGGUGCGAAAGCGUGGGUAGCAAACAGGAUUAGAUACCCUGGUAGUC
rnacentral:rRNA from 1 species